rnacentral:misc_RNA from 1 species
AUGGGGGACUUUAGCACGACGAGUCUCUUCUCGAGUACCCUGACCAGUCUGAAGUCUAGCACGGCUAACAGCGGCAUCAGCAGCAGCAGUAAUAGCAGCAGCAGCAGCAGCAACGCCAGCGCCGCCGUCAUCAUAACGACAUCCACGAUGCAAGACGACCUGCUGAUCGAAAAGCAAACCACCGGCAAAUCCGCCCCACUCUCACCGAGUGGUGCACUGGAUGCCGUAGCCGGACAGGACAAGUCGAAGGAUGUGAUCGAGGCGGAGAGCAUUUCCAUCACACCGACGACGCCCUCAUCAACGGAGAAGGAUAUCACGUGUAGCACGACUUCGGCUCUACAAGGCUUCGCUGAUCCUGGCGGCCGAGUACCCAGCUUGUGGUCCGCGCCGGACGACAGCGGGUUGCACGGCGCGUUGCCGGUCAAUGGUUCGAUUGCCGCGUUUCAGAAUUUCCCAGCCGGCGGACCCGCGGGCCUGUUUGCCAGCACCGGCGCCACCGGUGCAGUGUCAACCGGUACUCGCCGUGCAAUCACAGCCAGCCACAAUUUCCCGCAACAACAACAGCAUGGUAAUGCAGGUGCACCCACCGCCACCAGACACAGUGGUUUGCCAGUAUCGUCCGCUCAGCAACAGCAACAGCAACAACAGCAGCAGCAACAUCAACAGCAACAGCAACAACCGCCACCUGCAUCACAUCCGGGUGUUUAUCUGCCCGGCAAGGGCUACGCCGCGUGGUCAGGUGGGCCGCAGGCCCCGCAACAGUGGGGUGCAGGUCCGCAAGCGGCUGCUGCAGCCGCCGUUGCAAGCCCGGGUCUGUCACCCUGGAAUCGCGGUAGAUCUGUGCCCAAUCUACCGCCGUUGCACUCAUCUCUGCAUGCCGCUGCGGCGGUCGCGGCCGCUGCCGGGUUGCAAGGUCGCAAACCAAGUCCGACGUUUCCGGGCCAUCCGGGCCCGGCGGCGGCGCAUCCCUCUUGCAUCAGCCCGGUGAAGUUUCGUCGGAGCACAUCAUAUCCCGGCAAGGGCAACAUAUACCCGCCACAACCAGCUCCGACUUUCGAGGUCACCGCCGCCGAAGACAGGGAUCUGCUGCAGCUACCGCCAUUCCAGCAAGAUCGUAUGACGGCUAAUGGAAACUCACCGUUAGACAAUAUGAGGACCUUGGAACACUAUCUGAGCGACAUUAUGCGAGCAGGCGCAGCGGAUACCCCGGAACAUCUGAAAGGAUUUAUCAACUGCAACACCGCCAACACGCUGCAGUCGCUCGCGCAGCUACAUGGUAAAUCUCCGUUCUUCCCGAGUCUCGAGGAGCAGAGCGGUACUCUGCUGGAGGACCCGAAUGCGCCGAGUCAGCUGGAUAGCGUCGGCGUCGGCGUCGGGGUUGGCGUCGGCGUUGGCGUAGGCGGUGGCAUAACGGCCCAAGCGGCUCCGCUCUCGUCACCGAGUCGGAGCAGUCCUCACAGCCAAGGCAGCGAAACUGGCGAACGUUUCUCCAGGAAAGUCUUCGUCGGCGGACUACCACCCGAUAUCGAUGAAGAUGAAAUCACAGCCAGUUUCCGCCGCUUCGGCCCGCUGGUCGUCGACUGGCCGCACAAGGCAGAGAGCAAAUCCUAUUUCCCGCCGAAGGGCUACGCGUUUCUGCUUUUCCAGGACGAGGGUUCGGUGCAACAGUUGAUAGACGCCUGCAUUCAGGACGAGGACAAGCUUUAUCUCUGUGUGAGCUCGCCCACGAUCAAGGAUAAGCCUGUGCAGAUCCGACCGUGGCGGCUCAGCGACGCUGACUUUGUGCUGGACGCCUCCAUGCCACUCGAUCCACGGAAGACCGUUUUCGUCGGCGGUGUGCCACGACCGCUCAAGGCCGUGGAACUUGCUAUGAUCAUGGACCGGCUUUAUGGCGGUGUCUGUUACGCCGGCAUCGACACUGAUCCCGAGCUCAAGUAUCCGAAGGGAGCAGGCAGAGUCGCCUUCAGUAAUCAGCAGAGCUAUAUAGCUGCUAUCUCAGCCAGAUUCGUACAGCUCCAGCACGGCGACAUUGAUAAAAGAGUCGAGGUCAAACCAUACGUUCUGGAUGAUCAGAUGUGUGACGAAUGUCAAGGCCAGCGUUGCGGAGGCAAAUUCGCGCCGUUCUUCUGCGCCAACGUCACCUGCCUACAGUACUAUUGCGAGCAUUGCUGGGCAACUAUUCACUCCCGACCAGGUCGGGAGUUCCACAAGCCGCUGGUGAAGGAGGGCGCGGAUCGGCCUCGGGCCGUGCCUUUUCGCUGGUGUUAACCCCAGCUGCGUUGCCCCUAAUUAUCUCGCAGCCCUAGCUAAUUAACUACCACCUUCACCAAUACACUCCCCCACUCCCACCCUCCUCUCACGUGCCCCACCCAAGCAAUCCUCACCUCCCUGUCCCUAGACCCUCAUAUUACUUACUUACCUACAACAAGGAACACAACCUCAAAACCACUAUUACUACUCCUAUUACUACUACUACUACUACUACUACUACUACUACCACUCGAUCGUCACGUACUACCACUACUCUACUACCACUAUUACUACUACUAUUCUACUACUACUAUUAUUACUACUACUACUACCACAACUACUAUUCUACUAUACAAAUUACUACUACUACUACUACUAUUACUACUCCACUGCUAUUACUUCAAGUUGUACCGAUUAUACUGGAGGAAGAAACCAGCUGCUGCCGCCUGCCAGCCGAUGCAGGCUCUCGGCGUCGCUCCGACCUUUCACCUCACGACGACUUGCUAAACACGCGAACAUCCGCUUCGCGACGAGCGGCCGAUGUCAUCAUCGGGUCGACGCCUCGUCGCCGAAACGGAUUUCGCGUUCGAUGGAAGUGUUGAAAGACAGCAGAGAAGAGAGAGAAAGAAUGAUCGGAUCCACACCGAGCCGGAAGAAGAAGAAAAAGAAGAGGAAGAAAAGAAGAAGAUGAAGAAGAAGAAGGAGAGACAUACGCCGUGACACAGGAUUACAGAAGAGAAAACAGACACGAAUUCUCAGUAGAGUACAGAGCGUGUGUGGUGCUAAAUGCGAGAGGGAAAGGGAGAAAGAGAGCUGCUCCGCGAAUAUGUGUCGCUUCAUGUCAACAUGUUCGCCGCUCGCUCCAGCUGGUCUCGAAAUCGUACGGAGGAUAUAUAUUGUGGCAUUAAUAACGUUAAGGUAUCGGACAUACGAGCGAGUAGGACCGGUGAUAUGCGUGCGAUUUCGCGUAGAGUAAGUCUGAUCUGCUGCAAUCGUGCCAUAUGUUUCGACGUGGAUCUCCAAUGAGACGGGGAUCGCAUCGAUCACGCAUCCCUCGUGGAUGAAGAUCCCAUCGAAUCAUUUCUAUCGCCGAUCCUUCUCGGUGGCUUCUGUCGCAAGGCGUUGUUCAAUCCCUGGCAAUCUGCAGAAUAUUAUACGCGCGUGUUUUGUGUCGCUGUGUUUUUAUUCACUCUUGACACUAUAUAUCGUAAUUAAACAAUUUUUCCAUUUGGAUCUCAGACUUGUCUUCUGCUCUUCCUCAGCCGUGUGCAACACGGUGCGAAUGCAGCAGGGCAGAAAUCAUCUUUACGCUGAUAUACGCGUAUAAUAUAUAUAAAUGUAUGUACAUAUAAAUGUAUAGACCUACGAGAAACGAAAGACAGAAUGUGAGAGAAAAAGAAAGAGAAAGGUAGGAGAGAGCGAGCGAGAAAGAAAGACAGAGAGCGCGAAUAGUAGAUGAACGAAAGAGAGAGAGAGAGAGCAAGAGCAAGAGAGCGACAGAAAAAGAGAGUGAGGACACUGUUGUCAAAUGCGUGUACAAGAUGGGCCAUUAUCACAGGAUGCCUUAUUAAUGACGGAUUCUUUUUGGAAAAUAAAGUAGGAAGGAAAUUCUGCCCCCUAAAAUCUAAAAAUAUCAAAAGACCUUAAAAGAGACCUUUUAAGGUUCUCAAAAAGGCAGAAGCAACGGGACAUUAGUCUCAGCGAAUCUAAAAAAUGCGAAGCUCGGAAGACGUUAUUGUUAUCUUUAUUAACGAGAAAAUUGUUGGAACAUGUCCUGGCGUAAAUCUCUUGUAGCUAAAAGUUACACUCUGAAGUAACCGAUUAGAUGAAGAUCAUUGCCGUGUCGCGACACUGUUAGAAAUUCCGUUUCCGUUUCUGUGAGUGAGGCGCCUGUCGUUAAGUAAACGGUCGGCGAUAACGGUGCAUCCGGCGCACGCAUGUACGUACGUAGGCAACGAUAUUAAUAUUUAUUGAUUAUCGGCGCGCGCGAUAUCCUGCCAGGAUGGCUUUCUCGCGGAGAAAAAGGAAAAAAGGUUCCGGUUCUGCGAGAAGGACCGUCCGUGGCGGCGCGUUCCGACCGUCUCGUUGGAACAAUUAUCAGUAGGAUCGUACUUUCAUGCUCGUUUCUCGAUCACACGGAUACACAUAUAUGCGCAUGUACACGUACACUCAUACAUAGACACGUACACGCAAUUAUAAUUACUCAAAAGUAACUUGUACUCUAUGUAACUAUUACUAUUUUUAUGAAUUUUUGUACAUUUUUCUAAUUAUUUUGUAUAAUAAUCGUUAGCGGAAAGAGAGAAAAUGGCAGAAGUCUGGCACCCACCUCCCCAAAAAAGUGUUCAAAGCGAAGAAAAGGAGCUACAUCAACGAUGAAAAGAAACGUAAAAAAAACAAAAAAAUGAAAUUUCGGUGCGAAUGUGCGUAUAUUCAUACGAGCAUGACGUGCGUGCGUGUGUGUGUGUGUGUGUGUGUGUGUGCAAACGUAUGCGCGCGACUGUGUCUUGUGAGCAAAGUUUGAAAGAGAGAGAACGAGAGAGAGAGAAAGAGAGAAAAGACGACGAGAAAUGUAAAAUGAAUAAGAGAAAAAGUACGCGGGGAGCACAUAGUGUGAAUGCGCGAAAUUUUGCGAAAGUAGAAAAAGAAUAGAGAGAAGGCGAACGAAAAAAAACUGAAAAAGAAGCCGCGAAUGUCGACAAUGUAGUCCACCGUUUGUCUGUGUAAUCUUGUCUUAAUCUGUCUCCUUGUCUGUCUGUCGGUUUGCCUGUCUGUCUGUCCGUGUUGUGUUUUACCAGGGGAGGAGAAUUCGUUAAGAUCCUAAUGACGUAGCGUUACUUUUUCUCUGGAUCUAUGACGCGAUGACGAUGACAAUGAUAAUUUUUAUGUUUUGUAUUAAAAAAAAAAAAAACGCGCGCGCGAUGAACUUUCUUCUCAACAAACCCGCUAAAGGUGUAUAUAUAUAUAUAUAUAUAUAUAUAUAUAUAUAUAUACACACAUAAAUAUAUAUCGUAGGAAAGAGAAAGAGAAGAAGAAGAGAGUGGGUGGAGAAAGAGGGAACGGAAGGGAGUGCGAUAAAUCGAACGAGCGGGAAAAAGGAGAGGGUGCAUAGGUAGUAUCGGAGAAGUGUAGUAAAAGAAAAAACAAAAGGCGACUAAAUGAUGUUCAAAACGACGAUAAAACAAAAGAGAAGGGAAAGGGGAAGCGAUAGAGGCGGAGAGGAUUUAAUUCCGCGGCCCUCACAGGUAGACGCCGCGAAAAGUCGAAUGUGUGGAAAAAGUCUACUUCGUAUAUAUUUGACGACGUGUUUGUUAUAAUUAUAAGGGUCACUUUUUCUUUUUUUUCUCGAAAUGAAAUGCUAUAAAAUAGAUCAAUUCUUUCAUGGAUAUACGGAGUCCACUUGCUUUCAUCUAAUCCCUCUACGGACCUUUAGCACGCAGCGAGAAGUCCUUAUCAGCGAAGGGCUCGGUGCAAGAAUGAUGUGAAUUCGCGUGUGAAUCCGUCAAGUAGAUGAAUCUUCAUAAAGGUCCGUUCUAGAUAGUUCAAAUUGACACUUGAAGUGGACCGUGCAAAUUGCAGCGAUUACACCGAAUCUCAUUCAUUGUUGCUCCGAGCCGCUUGAACAUACCUCCUCGACUCCACGCGAUGCUCCUGCAAAAAAAAACAAAAGAUAUGUAUAUAUAUACGUGUAGUGCCUCAGUGCAAGAGUCGACGAACCAAAAGGCGCAAUCGCGCGCGACAGUUCGUACCAUUACUGUUCUACUCUUACUAUACUUGAUAUUUAUGUGUAACUUUUCGAUUUUGUUCAUUUCCACCCCUUUUAGUACUUUAAUAAAUGAGUUUG